GAUCCAGACUUGAUCAUGGCUCAGAGUGAACGCGGCGGCGUGCUUNACACAUGCAAGCCGAACGAGAACGGGUUAUAGCUUGCUAUAACUGUCAGCUAAGUGGCGCACGGGUGAGUAAUGUAUAGUUAACCUGCCCUCGAGAAAGGAAUAACAGUUGGAAACGACUGCUAAUGCCCUAUAUGCCUUUAAGACAUAAGUCUGCAAGGGAAAUGCUUUAGUGCUCGAGGAUGGGACUGUAUGGUAUCAGCUAGUUGGUGAGGUAAUGGCUCACCAAGGCAAUGACGCCUAACUGGUUUGAGAGGAUGAUCAGUCACACUGGAACUGAGACACGGUCCAGACUCCUACGGGAGGCAGCAGUGGGGAAUAUUGCACAAUGGAGGAAACUCUGAUGCAGCAACGCCGCGUGGAGGAUGACACUUUUCGGAGCGUAAACUCCUUUUAUAUAGGAAGAUAAUGACGGUACUAUACGAAUAAGCACCGGCUAACUCCGUGCCAGCAGCCGCGGUAAU
rnacentral:rRNA from 1 species